rnacentral:rRNA from 1 species
UCCUACGGGGGGCAGCAGUGGGGAAUAUUGCGCAAUGGGGGAAACCCUGACGCAGCAACGCCGCGUGAGUGAAGAAGGCCUUCGGGUUGUAAAGCUCUUUAAUCAGGAACGAAGAAUGACGGUACCUGAAGAAUAAGCUCCGGCUAACUACGUGCCAGCAGCCGCGGUAAUACGUAGGGGGCAAGCGUUAUCCGGAUUUACUGGGUGUAAAGGGGGCGCAGACGGCGAUGCAAGCCAGGAGUGAAAGCCCGGGGCCCAACCCCGGGACUGCUCUUGGAACUGCGUGGCUAGAGUGCAGGAGGGGC